ensembl:lncRNA
UCACAUGUGACCUCAUAACCUUUUUUAUUAUUAUUCUACAUGUUAUGGGUGUCAUUGUAAAUUACUCUGAAAUAUUAUUAAAUACUUUUCAGUAUUCACUUAAACAAGGUUAUUUAUAAUCAAAUUUUUUUUCUCUCAUUUCAUCCUAUUGGAUUUAUUAUUCACUGUGCUUCUUGAAGUGCAUUCUGGGAUUGCCAUCUCUGUGGAGAAUACAUGUGAUGCUGCUUUAGAAUUUGGCCAGAAUUAGAUAUCUAAUGAGGCAGCAUAAUUAAGAUUGGAAUUAAGGUUUGGAACAGCCUUCACAUCGGGAGCGUGCCCAUCAUGCCUUAGAAUGCUGCCUCCAUAGUUUUGGAACAGUGCGUGUGAGUUUGUGUGAGGACAAGGAAGACGCAGACAGACGGCCCGAGAGUGUGUUAGCAUCUGUGCUGUAGGAGAGAAAGAUAGCAAAUAAGAGUGAAUGGUGGAGUGUAACUGCGCGCUGAAGACUCAGGGGGUUGUCAGAGACACAUCACAGCAUGCUGCAGAAGUCGCGUCGAACGUAUAACUAACGUUCUCUCGGUGCGUCUGUAAGUGGAAGCUGUCAGGACGUGCUUGUUGACUGUCGGCUCAGGCUCGAAAUCCCAAUUAGAUGGACAUGGCAGAUUCGGCAAGUAUACGGGACGGAAAACAGCUCGCGGUACGGUUAUCGCUACAGAUGUGGGAGGAUGUGCCGACCUCUUUCAAUUUCCAUGGGUUUUAUACUGAUGACAACUAGAUUUUCUGAAGAAAAUGUGAUCGGCACUUGCAGUGCAAAAAACAAGCUGCCAUGAUGCUAAAGCAUUUUGGGUGACUGCCAGAAUGUUGCUAUGCAGUUUACAAGGCGUUCUGAGUCAUUGUCAUCAUGUUGAGAACAAACCAUAUGAAUUGAGGCGUGAGGCGGAAGUCUACUUCAAUCCCAUCAGGGGACGACCACCCAAACAGCAGCUGUGCUUUCUACCACCCUGAAACUGGCAAAGCCGUCUUCAAAGCGAUGGGACAGAUGUGCCCCGAGAUUAGUUUUUGGCAGACGAAGUGCGUCUGUUCGGGCGGCUGAUCACACAAGGUUGAGUACAUGUAUUCAGAUAGGAACUUGCUUUGGAGGACCAGGUGCGUGAUUGC